GGGCCCCAGCUGCAAACUCAGCUGUCUGGCUUUCACUGUUCACCCCAAGCUUGGGAAGAAGCUACAUGGCCAAGGGUCGUAGGCUCUGCCAACCAAAGCCCAAGGUUUAAACCAAGACAGAGGCCAAAGCUCCAACCCAGGCUCCCAAGGGUGCCAGGCCCCUGUGAAGGACCCAUAGAAAAGGUUCCUGCCAUUGUUAAGACAGACGGACUGCUGUGACACACCCACCUACACACUAUUUGCAGAUGACCUGUGUCCUAUGCUGUUUUUACAAAUAAACUUGAGACAAGGAGAAAAA
rnacentral:lncRNA from 1 species